rnacentral:lncRNA from 1 species
GUCUCCUCGAUCCGUGAAAAGGCAACGCUGGCCACUGAGAGGCGUCAGUACGGAGCCGUCUCCCUUCGCUUGCUCAUCCGGUACAGUUGGCCGGGAUUUCCAUGAUGACUUUUCGAAGGACAGGUGCAUUUGUGGCGGUGAUCGCCGUGGUGUUAUUGCUGACCGUGGGCGCGCGUGCAGGUACGACUGCGCGCAAAGAGAAGCCUGGGUCGUGCCCCCAUUUCCCUGUUGCUCCUCCUCCGCCCCCUGGGUCCAAUGGCCCGCUUUCCCUUGACCUCGCAAACGAAUGGAACCACCAUUUCGCUUGCCGUAAUGACUUCAACUGUCUUGGCACUAAGAAAUGCUGCUCAACUGGCGUUUGCUGUGGCACUGUUUGCACCGAGCCGUGGUAGGGAUCGCUUCGAUAAGGAAUUCAGGUGCCAUCGACAUAUGGUAACUUAGUAACAAGAAAUAUGACGGGUCACCUGUGAUAAAAGUCUGUUGAUCCUCUAGAAUAAAACUCUAGAACAAAA